rnacentral:tRNA from 1 species
GGUGGUGCAGUGGUUAAAGCAUUUGACUGUUAACCAAAAGGCCGGUGAUUCGAAUCCACCAGCCACUC